GAAAAAGCGUUGAUAGGGAUUAGUAAACAAUUCAUUAUGUGAAAAGAGAGUGACCUCACCGGCUGAAAGGGUCAUCACCGCUAAUAUUGUUGAACCUGCCCUGGAGCUAGUCAAUGAGGUUGACCGUUCCCCACGUUACGGGUAAGAGUGGGCUUUACGCCAACAAAGGUGGUACCGCGGAUGUAACUCAUCCGUCCUUUUA
rnacentral:ncRNA from 1 species